CGCGUAGGCGGCUUGCCAAGUUGGAUGUGAAAGCCCGGGGCUCAACCUCGGAACUGCAUUCAAAACUGGCAAGCUUGAGACCGAGAGAGGAAAGUGGAAUACCCAGUGUAGAGGUGAAAUUCGUAGAUAUUGGGUGGAACACCGGUGGCGAAAGCGGCUUUCUGGCUCGGAUCUGACGCUGAGGCGCGAAAGCGUGGGGAGCAAACA
rnacentral:rRNA from 1 species